rnacentral:rRNA from 1 species
AUUGAACGCUGGCGGCAUGCCUUACACAUGCAAGUCGAACGGCAGCACGGGUGCUUGCACCUGGUGGCGAGUGGCGAACGGGUGAGUAAUACAUCGGAACGUACCUUAUCGUGGGGGAUAACGCAGCGAAAGUUGCGCUAAUACCGCAUAAGCCCUGAGGGGGAAAGCGGGGGACCGUAAGGCCUCGCGCGAUUAGAGCGGCCGAUGUCUGAUUAGCUUGUUGGUGAGGUAAAAGCUCACCAAGGCGAUGAUCAGUAGCUGGUCUGAGAGGACGAGCAGCCACACGGGGACUGGGACACGGCCCAGACUCCUACGGGAGGAAGCAGUGGGGAAUUUUGGACAAUGGGGGCAACGCUGAUCCAGCAAUGCGGCGUGAGUGAAGAAGGCCUUCGGGUUGUAAAGCUCUUUUGUCAGGGAAGAAACAGCAGCUCUAACACAGUCUGCGAAUGACGGUACCUGAAGAAUAAGCACCGGCUAACUACGUGCCAGCCGCCGCCGUAA